GCGUGCAGCCCAGUGGUCGAGUGCUUGCCUCGCAUGCAAAAGGGCUUGGGUUCAGUCCCCAGCAACACACA
rnacentral:tRNA from 1 species